UACGUCGGGUGCAAGCGUUGUCCGGAAUUAUUGGGCGUAAAGAGCUCGUAGGCGGUCUGUCACGUCGGCUGUGAAAACCCGAGGCUCAACCUCGGGCCUGCAGUCGAUACGGGCAAACUAGAGUACUGCAGGGGAGACUGGAAUUCCUGGUGUAGCGGUGAAAUGCGCAGAUAUCAGGAGGAACACCGGUGGCGAAGGCGGGUCUCUGGGCAGUAACUGACGCUGAGGAGCGAAAGCGUGGGGAGCGAACAGG
rnacentral:rRNA from 1 species